AUUGAACGCUGGCGGCAUGCCUUACACAUGCAAGUCGAACGGCAGCACGGGAGCAAUCCUGGUGGCGAGUGGCGAACGGGUGAGUAAAGUAUCGGAACGUGCCCUGUCGUGGGGGAUAACGUAGCGAAAGUUACGCUAAUACCGCAUACGAUCUAUGGAUGAAAGCGGGGGAUCGCAAGACCUCGCGCGAUUGGAGCGGCCGAUAUCAGAUUAGGUAGUUGGGGGGGUAAAGGCUCACCAAGCCGACGAUCUGUAGCUGGUCUGAGAGGACGACCAGCCACACUGGGACUGAGACACGGCCCAGACUCCUACGGGAGGCAGCAGUGGGGAAUUUUGGACAAUGUGCGGAAGCCUGAUCCAGCCAUGCCGCGUGCAGGAUGAAGGCCUUCGGGUUGUAAACUGCUUUUGUACGGAACGAAAAGGUUUGGCCUAAUAAGCUGAGCUCAUGACGGUACCGUAAGAAUAAGCACCGGCUAACUACGUGCCAGCAGCCGCCGCCG
rnacentral:rRNA from 1 species